GACGAACCGUGCGAACGUUAUUCGGAAUCACUGGGCUUAAAGCGCGUGUAGGCGGGGCGGCACGUCGGUCGCUGAAAGCCCCCGGCUCAACCGGGGAACGGGCGCCGAUACGACCGCCCUCGAGGGACGUAGGGGGACCUGGAACUUCCGGUGGAGCGGUGAAAUGCGUUGAGAUCGGAAGGAACGCCCGUGGCGAAAGCGAGGUCCUGGACGUCUGCUGACGCUGAGACGCGAAAGCCAGGGGAGCGAACAGG
rnacentral:rRNA from 1 species